CCGGUAGUUAGGGCUAUAGAGCUAACGGCCGAGAUCGUCUGGGAAUUGAAGGGCAAACGACCGGGAGAUAGGAGAGCACUCUUUGAAGACUGGAAAGAUCAUCCUACAGAGGAGGUUCAGGAUCUGGAAGGGUUUCAGCCAGCCCAAUCAGUACUCAAUUAAGCCACUAAAUACUUCAUCUCUCUUUCUCUCUCUCUCUUUUCUCUACCUUCUCUCUGACGAGACAUGAACGUUGGUUUUAUUUUUGCCGUCCGGGCAGUACAGCAGAUGGUUCUGACGGAAUGUCGCUCCCUGAGCUCUUUCCUGGAAAUCAUAUUAGCUUUUGGGAAAAACUUCUGGGCUUUGGAGCUCUUCCUGGAGUCUCUGGCUAAGCACAGGAAAGUCCUGAGCACCGUCCUCACCUUGAUUUGCGAUGACCUCCGCUGUGGUCAAGUGGAAAUGUUGAAACUGUGGGGACGCUUGGGCCCCGAAUACGUGGGGGAACUGCUGUGCCUAUUCUUGACAUCCGUGUAUAAAGAUGUUGGCCUCACCAUCAUCCGUAUUCUUCAGGCAAACUUUAAGCAGUGCCUCUGGGCAAAGUAUGUGGGCGAGUUUCUUCAAAACCGCAAAAAACUGCGAAACCGCCGGCUAGACGAGGUCUCCACCUUCAUUCAGCUUACACAGAUGCUUCCUGAAACCCGCCAGCCGGACACUUCUUCCACGGUUUGCCAGCCUGGCCCUGCUUCCGAGAGCGCACCCCCUUGCUCCUGAGAAGGGUGCCCCUCUGCCGUUGGCACGCUGCUGAGUCUCGCGUCGCUCUGGGCGGCUUUUCCAGGAGACGCGGAGCCUGAGACGGAGUCUUAAGGGCUUCCUGUUUCUCUUCUCGCCCUACCUGCCUACCUCAAAGCCUCCUUCGUUCUGACCCCUUGCAGGCAUCAGGGAAUUCAGAAGAACCUGUUAUGGCUUGGUUAUCGUGUUCUCUUUUUGCACAAGGAUGUGCAGUGUUUGUACCGACGACGACGGACCUCCGUCGCCUCCCUGAUCCUUUGUGCGCCCCGUAUCGUUUUGUAUGAAAAUAAGUUCAGUUCUCUUCCACACUCAGCAUGAGAGCCACCCUUGAAAGAGAAAGUUGCUGAUCUUCGUUAGACUCCCCCCCCCGCCCUAAUAUUUCCCAGGACUGCCAAUCUGCGCGAAUCAGAAAAAAGUUCAUGUCAGCUAAUCUUUUCGUUUCAAGUCUGUUGGGAUUUCUUCUGAUGUUGUCUUCUCCCAUUUAUGGGUUUCUCAACUUGAGACCAAAAGCCCGCUCAGUUUGGUCAGAAGUGUCUUAAAAAAAAAGGCAUUGGGAACUCCUCCCCCCUCCCCGAGUUGAGUUUGUAUUUUACAACUUGAAAAUGAGUCUGAAGUUUCUUGUAAAUGCGGGCAUAUUUUUGUUAGCACUUUUUCAAUGCUUCUGAUAGAGUUAACAUGAAACAGGCAUAUUUUCGUGUUGCAGAAUGCCAAGAUGUUUGUAAUACGUUUCUUAGUAUUAAAUGCAAGAUUUCCUUGGUUUGUACUUUUUAAAGUUACGGUUACUGAACCAUGGAGUCAUGAAACAUGAGGGUACAUUUCUAGAGGUUACCACAAAACCACGACUGAGGGCUUGGGCUUCCUCUCUGGAGCUGAAUCUUACGACUAGCCUUAUGCUUAUGGGGAUUAAUCUAACUUCUUCCCUACAUGCUCCUUUGUGCCAUAAAUAUUCAGGAAGAGGCUGGGCAGAACAGGCCCUACUGCUUGCUUUUACCUCCAGCAGAAUACGGAGUGGAGAGUAUGUAGAUAUCUGUAGUCUUCUUAUGUGGGAGUUCGAGGGGGAGGUUGGGGAACGGGCACGUAGGCACAAAGUCAGAGCAGUCCUGGUUGAAUCGAGUCCCUGUAUUUUUGUAUUUAUGCAAGGAUCUUUGCUAAGGCCCAGCUUUGGCAAGCCUCGUCUUUCAUACAGUGUUGGAUCUACAAGGCCCAGAUAGACUUUCCCGGGCGUGUGGCUUCUUCACGAUGAAGAAUGCAUGCUGCAAUUUACACACACACACCCGUGUGAGUUGGGAUGAGCGGCACCCCCGUCUGUGGUUAUAGCUGAUGAUGCCAAUCAGACCCAUGCUGGGGGAACGUUUUGGUAGAGGGCACCGUGUCCGGUGAACGGAUCAGACCUCCAUAUCCUGCGCUUUCGCAGGGCAGUUGUUUCCACCUUGACCGCUGUGUUUGGAAUUCGGUGGCCAGGGUGUCUGCAGGAAUACGGAGAAUGCCGAAUAAGCCCUCCUUUUGCUCUCCUGAAAGCAGCGCAGUGGCUAACGGAUAAAUCUGAGACUGAAGGUAGAUUGCGAGGGAAGGGCCUCCCUUGAAAUAUGAGUGGGCAGCUGAGUCAAGUUUUCUUUCCUGGCACAGGAGGGUGGGUUGGAUCUAAGAAACUCUUCUUGUCAUUCUGUGCCUCCCCCCACCCUUUCCCAGUCAUUGGAGAGUCUGCUCUGCUAGACUGCAUAAGCAAUGGGCUGAAGGAAGUGGAGCAGAAAUAAUAGAGAUAUGGACUACAAUCCCCAUUAUUCGUAGCCGGCAUGGCUAAUGGCGAGGGACGAUGAGCAGCGUAGUCCAGUAACAGCUAGAGGGGACCAACCCUGAAGUUCGGACGGUCUCGGAUGCAGGUGGAGUCAUAGUAGAAGGAAGUCCCACCUUCGGAUGUGGAGGGAAUUAAAAUAUCCCCUGCCCCAAGCCAAAAUCAAAAAGGUGGCAAGAGGUGCCGUCCAUUUAGCGUGUGCCUUCUCCUUAGCUCUGAGUUUGAAUCGGCAAAACAGGAAGUGGCAGAAUCUCGAAACCAGGUUUUCUUCAAAAACGAGCAAAAUAAAAGGCGAAAGAAUAACCUGGCUAGGAGCA
ensembl:lncRNA